UUUAUUGUUUUAUCAUAAUUCAACUCUCCUACAGAUCUUUGGAUAUAGGAAAUCAAAUGAAUGUUUCUGAGGAGAUGAAAGUUACAAAUAUUGGGAAUCAGGUAAGAAGCAGCUUAAUUUUUGCAGAAAGUAUGCUUCAUCUGGAGGGCUUUUAAUCUUUAAGCAGCAAAAUCACAUUUUUAUUGAACUUAUUUAAAUUAUUGACAUUUUUCUAUUUCAGCAAAUUGACAAAGUUUUUAACAACAUUGGAGCAGACCUUCUGACUGGCAGUGAGUCCGAAAAUAAAGAGGACGGGUUACAGAAUAAACAUAAAAGAGCAUCACUUACACUUGAAGAAAAACAAAAAUUAGCAAAAGAACAAGAGCAGGCACAGAAGCUGAAAAGCCAGCAGCCUCUUAAACCCCAAGUGCACACACCUGUUGCUACUGUUAAACAGACUAAGGACUUGACAGACACACUGAUGGAUAAUAUGUCAUCCUUGACCAGCCUUUCUGUUAGUACCCCUAAAUCUUCUGCUUCAAGUACUUUCACUUCUGUUCCUU
rnacentral:lncRNA from 10 species